GUUCAUAACAGUUAACAUCGCGAUAAACCAGAUAGAAAGAAAGUUAAAUUUAAGAAGGAUUCUGAAAAAAGAUUUGAGAUUACUCUAAAGGUAAAGCGACUUUUGGGGAUAAAGCGUAUAUCAAAAGAUAAGAAUGUAUAUUGAUAAUGCGAAAAGUGUGAAUCUUUUCGUUAUAUCUAAAGCAGUUCAGUGUGAAGGAUUUCACGAGUUGAAGUCCCACGAAAAAUAAUGGAAAGAAUCCGGAUCGUCGCGGAGGCACGACUUGAUGUAUGAUAGCUUCAGAAAUGGCUGUCGGCGCGAGACCACGUUCCGAUAAAUCUCCCGGUUUUUUUUAAACUUGUGGACGGUCUUGUCGUUCACGUAUAAACGUAUCGUUUUAAUAAAUAUUUAUAACGAGAUAUGGGGAAGGGACGGGGACCAAUUGGAACCGAAGUUUUACUACUACUACUGGUGAUGGUAGUGUAGCGUAAACGUUGUUGUCGUUGUUGAUCGGAAUCAUCACCACUAGUGAUCCACCAUCGAUGAACUCCAACUCCCAUGAACUGAAAGUUUCUCCUCCAACGAUAAUAAAGAUAUCCAUUAUAUAUCCGGUCGGAGUUUGCCCAAGCGAACGUUUUCUUAUAUAUCGAUCUUCGUGUUUUCGUUUCUUUCCUUCUUGUCCUUCAACGAUCACUCUCCCUUUAACCAUCUAGUGAAUACGAAACGGUUGGUGAUCUUUGUCUUCGAAACUCGCGCCGUUGCGAUUGAUUGUUUUUUAUUUUUCUUUUUUUUUCAUUUUUUCGUCAAUAUACUCUUUCUUUUCCAAGAUGAUCAGUUUAUUCUCUCUAUGAUUGACGCGAUCAUCGAUACGUAAUUCUUCUUCUUAGGUACCUUUUUUUCUACUUCGUUCAGAGAUCCAAGAAUCCGUUGGAAAUGUAAUUCAAUGUAAAUUGAAGACAGAGACAGGAAUUUCAGACAUGCAAUAAUUAUUUUACCAAUGGUAGUACGUUUACUCCUCAAAGGAAUUUCGUUAAUUUAAUAGAGAGGAGCAAGCAGAAAGACGUGUCAUAAGAAGGAUAUAUGUGUUAUAUACUGUAAGAGUUUAACAUGGAAACGACUGUCGACAUACAAUCCGAUUUGGUUCGCGAACUCUCGACGAGGUAUCAUUGAUGUCGAUUACGAUGCAGUCGAUCGCCUCACCGAGAAUGUUUUCUUAUGCUGGGUGUCCCCGGACGACGAGGUCCAUCCCCCUUUAUUGGAUUUAGUCUCUUAAUGAUUUUGUCAAGCCACAGAGGGAGAAAAGAACCUGCCAACGUUCUCUCGUACCUGGUUCUGCGUUCGGAUUUGGCGCUAUGACCGUCGUUGACUUAGUUGGCGCGGGAAUCCUCGUAAAUUAUGAACAUCUGCGCGACGCAAUGAAUCACCGCCGAUACGUUUCAUUUCUCAUCUUCUUUCAGUAGAUAAUAGGAAUCUUGUGAAAGGGGUAAACACGAGUAGCGAUAUCGAACAAGAUUUUAUACAUACGUUAUUGUAUAUAGUUUUGUAGUGUGCAUAUAUUAAAAUUGUAUUAAAGAGAUUAGAAGGAAAACUCUUUAGGAGUUUUCAAAUGAAUGUGAAUCUUUUAAAUGGGGGAAGCUAGUUUACUGAAAGUACUAAUAUUUUAAAUAGUAUCUAUAAAUAAGUAAAUAUCUAAAUUAAUUGUUCUCACGCUUUAUACGAUUAGAA
rnacentral:lncRNA from 1 species